rnacentral:rRNA from 1 species
AACGAACGCUGGCGGCAUGCCUAACACAUGCAAGUCGAACGAUUGCCUCCGGGUGAUAGUGGCGCACGGGUGCGUAACGCGGGGGAAUCUGCCCUUAGGUGCGGAAUAACAGAUGGAAACGGCUGCUAAUACCGGAAGAUAUCGCGAGAUCAAAGAAUUAUCGCCUGAGGAUGAGCCCGAGUAAGAUUAGGUAGUUGGUGGGGUAAAAGCCUACCAAGCCGACGAUCCAUAGCUGGUCUGAGAGGAUGAUCAGCCACACUGGGACUGAGACACGGCCCAGACUCCUACGGGAGGCAGCAGUGGGGAAUAUUGGACAAUGGGCGAAAGCCUGAUCCAGCAAUGCCGCGUGAGUGAUGAAGGCCCUAGGGUUGUAAAGCUCUUUUACCCGGGAAGAUAAUGACUGUACCGGGAGAAUAAGCCCCGGCUAACUCCGUG